AAGUUAAGAGCCAAUUAGGAUAGCCGAAGGAUGACGCCUAAAAACCAAACAAUUAAUUAUGAGUUGAACCCAUAAUUAAGAGUGAAUUUAGGCAAGUCAUCCUUGGCUACCAAAUCAGGCUCAUCAAUU
rnacentral:pre_miRNA from 1 species